rnacentral:rRNA from 1 species
AUUGAACGCUGGCGGCAUGCUUUACACAUGCAAGUCGAAUGGUAACAGGCCGCAAGGUGCUGACGAGUGGCGAACAGGUGAGUAAUGCAUCGGAACGUGCCCAGUCGUGGGGGAUAACGCAGCGAAAGUUGCGCUAAUACCGCAUACGAUCUAUGGAUGAAAGCGGGGGACCGUAAGGCCUCGCGCGAUUGGAGCGGCCGAUGUCAGAUUAGGUAGUUGGUGGGGUAAAGGCUCACCAAGCCGACGAUCUGUAGCUGGUCUGAGAGGACGACCAGCCACACUGGGACUGGGACACGGCCCAGACUCCUACGGGGGGCAGCAGUGGGGAAUUUUGGACAAUGGGCGCAAGCCUGAUCCAGCAAUGCCGCGUGCAGGAAGAAGGCCUUCGGGUUGUAAACUGCUUUUGUACGGAACGAAACGGUCCUGGUUAAUACCCGGGGCUAAUGACGGUACCGUAAGAAUAAGCACCGGCUAACUACGUGCCAGCCGCCGCCGUAACAC